UUACGGCUAUAUCAGGUUUAAACACCGGUUCUCACACGAUCACCGAAGUUAAGUAGCGUUGAGCCUGGUCAGUAGAUGGGUAAGUGACCGCUUGGAAAUAUCAGGUGCUGUAAG